GAUAGAUAGUGUGUGUGUGUGUGUGAGGAGAGAGAGUGUGUGUGUGUGUGUAGCAAAGUGUGUCUUCCAGUGAUUAGUCAAAACUGUAACUGACACAAGGCCCCAGUGAUCCUAUCAGAGGAAGGGAAACCACACACACACACACACACACACACUCUUCUUACACAGACUUCCUCCGAGUGGCCUUAAGAGAGACCGCGUUCCCCUUUUCAUUUAAAUGGGGCGACUACGUCACUCCUCCGCAGACUUUCGUUCAUUGGAUGCAAAAAACAACAACAUGGCGACGGCCGUAAUCCAAGCGGGCGACUUUGAGGCUUCAUAACGACAGGUCCACGAACCAACGUGACCACGCCCACUUCUGAUAACCAACGUGGCCACGCCCACUUCUCAUACCCACAGUGACCACGCCCACUUCUCAUAACCAACGUGACCACGCCCACUUCUCAUACCCAACGUGGCCACGCCCACUUCUCACAACCAACGUGGCCACGCCCACUUCUCAUACCCAACGUGACCACGCCCACUUCUCAUAACCAACAUGACCACGCCCACUUCUCAUAACCAACGUGACCACGCCCACUUCUCAUAACCAACGUGACCACGCCCACUUCUCAUAACCAACGUGACCACGCCCACUUCUCAUAACCAACGUGACCACGCCCACUUCUCUUACCCAACGUGGUCACGCCCACUUCUCAUAAACAUCUCUCCAGUGGCCGACAAUGGCAGCCAUUGAGACGUCUGGCCUUUGUGUUUCAAGUUUCCUUUGUCUAUUUAAAUGUGUGUGUGUGUGUGUGUGUGUGUGAGAGAGAGUUUACAUUCCUCUCUGAUUUAUUCAUUCCAUGCCCUCUUCCCCACCACUUUGCCUCCUUUCAUUCCCACGACGCCCUACUGAAGACUCAACCCCCCCUGCCCCCCCACCCCGUGACCACAGUCAUGGCGAUGGCCUGCACAUUGCCCUCCCUCUACGACUCCCAUGGCCCUAAUUAGCUGAUUAGCUGCAAUGCGGUGUGACACGCGGACUCUGCUGACGGGUUCAUGUGGAAGUUUCCCUCGAAGGCGCUUAUUGUUAUUAUUCCCCGAGGAGCCUGAAGGCAUCGUUUAAGAUCACCAGUGCUACGCUUCAGUGUAUUCUACCCACAAACCCACCCGGCCCUGCUGCAGCACGGAGACGAGGAUGCGCUCGGAUAUUAACGACGACAACGACAACAACAACGACAACAACAACAACGGCCUCGCCGUAAUCUCAUUUCCUGCUUCUCAGAUAGAAAUGCUAAAUGCCUGAAAACAGACAUGUGAGCAGACAUGAAAACACCUCCUGUUGUCCCGGAGGCUCCGACCAGCUCCGACCAGCUGAUCCACCACCAGCAUCUCCCUCAGCCCCCCCCCCCCCCUUCUAUUCAGAGGAUCCUCUCCUCCCCAGGAAUAAACCCGUAAGGCACAAUCACACCUGGAAGAUCUUCAGCCCUUCUGACUGUUGCCCAAACAUUAUUUAGCGUAAUAUUUACUCCAGAAAAAAAAAAACUUCUACUUUCUGCACGUCACGCAACAGUAAAAAAUAAACCGUUGACUCAUAACGCGGUUGCUGCUUCGUCAUAAUCUCACUUAUUGAUCUGCAACGGCAGUUCAGAUGUGGCUCCCGCGGUUAUUUAGUGCCACUUCAUACUUAAAUAAAUGGUGGCCGGCUGGCCGACACCUCUAAAAGAGAGUAGUAACAACCACCGGGUUGAAGAACCCGGAGCCCACGAUUACAUCAACCAACAACAAUAUGCUUUUCCUCAAAAAAAUGUCUUUUAAGCAGUAAUUGUAAAUACGCAAGGCAAAGAAGAAGAAAAAAUAAAACUGUCACUAAAUAUUAGUGAUUAAAAAGUCACUCAAGUGAAAAUCUUUCCCAUCAUUGCGUCAGUUUAAAUGGAGCGACGGCCUGUCGAGGGUUUCGGCGUCGUUUCCCCCGACGACGGCGGUUACGCAACGCUCCUCGGUCCCAGACGACGGCUUCUUUUAUAAUUUUUUUAUAAUAAUUCUGCAUUUUAAAAAGCGCUGCGGGGGAACUUCCUGUGAGACGUGAGAGUGCUCUGAAGGUAGAAAUCUAAUCUGUUUCUUGUUCCCUACGCGAUGACAUCAGUGGAGUCUGGUCCCUCGACGACGAGUCAUUCAGGAGGACAC